rnacentral:rRNA from 1 species
GGCGAGUGAAGCGGCAAGAGCUCAAAUUUGAAAUCUGGCCCCUCCGGGGUCCGAGUUGUAAUUUGCAGAGGAUGCUUCGGGUGCGGCCCCUGUCUAAGUGCCCUGGAACGGGCCGUCAGAGAGGGUGAGAAUCCCGUCUUGGGCAGGGUGCCCGUGCCCGUGUGAAGCUCCUUCGACGAGUCGAGUUGUUUGGGAAUGCAGCUCAAAAUGGGUGGUAAAUUUCAUCUAAAGCUAAAUACCGGCCGGAGACCGAUAGCGCACAAGUAGAGUGAUCGAAAGAUGAAAAGCACUUUGAAAAGAGAGUUAAACAGCACGUGAAAUUGUUGAAAGGGAAGCGCUUGCAACCAGACUCGGCCUCGGGGUUCAGCCAGCAUUCGUGCUGGUGUACUUCCCCGGGGCCGGGCCAGCGUCGGUUUGGGCGGCCGGUCAAAGGCCCCAGGAAUGUAUCGUCCUCCGGGACGUCUUAUAGCCUGGGGUGCAAUGCGGCCAGCCUGGACCGAGGAACGCGCUUCGGCACGGACGCUGGCGUAAUGGUCGCAAACGACCCGUCUUGAAACACGGACCAAGGAGUCUAACAUCUACGCGAGUGUUCGGGUGUCAAACCCGUACGCGCAGUGAAAGCGAACGGAGGUGGGAGCCCCCCCGGGGCGCACCAUCGACCGAUCCUGAUGUCUUCGGAUGGAUUUGAGUACGAGCGUAGCUGUGGGGACCCGAAAGAUGGUGAACUAUGCCUGAAUAGGGUGAAGCCAGAGGAAACUCUGGUGGAGGCUCGCAGCGGUUCUGACGUGCAAAUCGAUCGUCAAAUUUGGGUAUAGGGGCGAAAGA